GUGUGUUAAGUUUAUCUAUGUGUCGUGAAGGUGAGCGAGAUUUUUGUCUAUGUGGAUGAAGAUAUCAUGGCUACUCUUCAUGAUCGAUGUGUCUCCAAGGUGAGAGAUUUUUAGUUUAUGGUUGCUCUCUUCUGUUUUCACUGUUUGCAACAAGCUUUUAUAAAUUCAGUAAAUCUUUAAUUUUCAUUCCAUGAUCAUGAAAUUACCAUCAAGUUCUUACUUAGACAUAAGUGACUACAAUUUUUCUUAGUGAUGUUAGCUGAUCAGGACUAACAGAUUUCAAAAGAAAUGAAGAAGGAGAUCAGAAUUUAGGCUCAUGAUCUUUUGUUAAGUUUAUUUGGCCGCUAUUUAGUGUGAUAUGGUGCCAAUAGUUUCAUGAUUAUGAGGCGUGAUCACCGCAAGUAAUUUUGGCUAAUUGUUUGUGUUUGGCAUGUGCAAGAUCUGCUUCUGUAUUUGGAGUAGAGUCUACAUUCCUUUAACUGUUUUUGUCUUCUCUCUCUGCAAGAGUUGAAAAACCAGAGGCUUCUGCCCAAAAUGAUUUCUCAGUCAAGACAAAUGUAAAUGGAAGAAGCAUCGUCAGAUACCAUAUUUACAUUCUGAAAAAAAAAAGAGACCAAAGGUAGAUGACAAACAUAUGCGUCUUUGAAGGACUCGCUAUUAGAAAAAAAAACAUAAACAACAAGUUUUAUACAUGUAUUCUCAUAUAAGUUUCUCUUAAAUUUCAUAUAGUUCUACUGCUUACAAGCUUUUUGAUUUGCUAUUUUGUUCAACUAUUGUUUACAAGCUGACAUAGCUUUUUUAGUGGUGUUUGACAGCUUAUGCUGAGAGAUUCAGAAGCUGGAUAUUAAUGAAACUGUUUACUCUCAGGCAAAUCACCAGAGAAAUUGUUGCUUCCAAGGGUGAUUAUGCAAAGCUCAGUGGCGUUGAAGAAAGACUGCAGGAGUGACCCCUUGAAAAAACUGCUUGACAGAUCCAAAAUCCAAGAACAAGUUUCAGAACCAAGGUGUUUGUUGAGAAGUACCAAUCUUGUGACACUGAACAUGUAUGGUAUGUUUUCCCAAAUUAUAUACACGUGACACCUGCCCACAAGCAUGGUAUUUCCUCAUCAUAGUUCCAGUUACGUAUAACAGAGAGAGAGGGUCACUGAGGAUAGAGUAUUUGAACGAUAUCAGAAGAACACCAUCAAUGCUGAGGGAAUUGUACCUCAUGAGAGCUAUAUUCUUCGCCAAGUACACAAAGUGAGUGGGGGAAGUUAAUACUUAUACCUCUAUUCCGCUAUGGUUUUAGCCAUUGUUUGCUUUGAUUAUCGAAAAAUAUAUAACCGUAUUAUAACCCUAAAUAAUUAAUACACUGUAAAGAUUUUUCAGUGAUUUCUAGCAGCAGCUAGAAAGCAUUCAGAAGAUGAUGGAAUCAGUUCCAUUGAUCGGCUUCCUCAUAUGUUUCCUUUAAUAUUUCAUUACAUCCACAAAACAUCGUUGAUCACUGACAAUGCAUUUGCUGACUUUCUUACACUCUUUUAUCUCCAGUGAAUUGGUUUUCAUUUGUAUGUUUUGAUUCUCUGACCUUGCGUUGGAGAGAGCCUUUACAUAUAAUAUAUAACUAUGUAAUUUUUCUAUAUUACCAUAAUGCUACAAACUAAGUCAAAUUUUCCUUCCAGCUUCCAAGUAAAUGAUUUGAAAUUUGAAUGAUGCAGCUACGAAAGGGAAGAAGGUGAAAGAACGAGUCAGACAAUAAGGUCAACACUGUAAAAACAUAGACCCGUGGUUGAUUCUCAUCGUGUUUAUUAGUUGUGGUGCACGUUUUUACCUUUUUAUACAUUCUGCUUUUGUGAUCUAUAGAAGGAUACCAUGCAGAGAAGCCACUAAAGAUCCAAAUUUCUGCAACACUAAAACAACAGCUCAUUGUCUGGGAGAAUAUUAUGUACCAGGACAAGGUAUAUCAAUCAAUCUAACUAAGUACUUUGGCUUCCAAUUUUCUAAGUCAUGUGUAGCAUGUGCCUCUGCUAUAGGUACAACAAGGGUCUGCUGCUGAUGGAAGUUUACAAGCUAAUGACAUUGAUGGGAAGAAGAAAAUUAAGCGGGCAAGAAGUUGCUACUAAGACCUGCCAUUAUCCACCUAUCAACUCCAUGGCUGCUUCACAACACUAACGUGUAGCUCAAUGCAUACAAUGCUUUAUAGUUUACAAGAAUACAAUAGGAAGAGCAACGAUGAUCCUAAAGUAUCAAUACAAAGUUACGGAAAUGAGAUCGAUGUUUGGAGUGAAGGGAUUAUUUUAAUCAUCUUGCUUUGUGGUGUACCUCUUUUUUGGGCUGCUAAUAUAUUGCUAAUUGUUUCGUCCAUUUAAUUAUGUAAUUGAUAUUUUUUAUGGUUUUGUUAUAUUUACAAUUAGGGAUGUGAAUUGUUGAGCGAAGCUUGAAGAGGUUUAUUCAUUUUAAAUUCUCAAUA